GGGUUCCAAAGGCGGUUCCAAGUGCCUAAAUUCGGGGAGCCCGGAUAGCCAGCCGGGGCCGAUUCUGGGCCUUUCGAGCUGCCUACACUAUUUUUAUUUUGGAGCUCGGAAAAACACGUCUAAUCACUUGCCUCUCCAGCUGAGUGUGUGUGUUGGCGUGUGUUUGCCUGCCACUUGACACCUCUCAAUGACAAACCGCUGAGUUGCUUCCUCCUGGCAAAAGCUGCUCCUUCAUAUUCAUCUCCUUCUUACUCCUCUACUUCAGAUUCACCUUCUUCUUUUCCUUCUUCUUCUUCUUCAGAAUCUCUUUCUUCUCCUUCUUCUACAGAAUCUUCUUCUCCUCCUUGCUCUUUAGUAUAUUUUUUCCAUACAUAUCCGCGCUUAAGCCUCAGACUGCCAACAGUUUUGGACAUAUAGCUUCAGCUUCAGUUUCCUGGCCACAAAUAUUUUUUGUGUCCUAAGUCUGGGCUGAUGGGAUAGAGGGGCCACACAGGGGGUGGCAAGUGUGUAGAAAAUGGUAGAAAUAUUUCGGUGAAAAGGAAGAAGAGGAGAGACAGAGAAGAGGAGGGCCAGAAUGAUGGACACAAAAGUUCCUGGGGGCCAUACACUUUGCUGCCAGCGGAUUCCAUGGAGCUUGUCAUGGAGUUUGCUCUUGCUCUAGCCCAGAACGAAUAAGUUUAUUUUGGGGAUUUCCCAGAAAGUAACAAAAAAAGAUAGAGAGGGAGAGAGCGAGCGAAACUAUUUGCAUACUAAAUUCGGCUUUAAAGUGAAAUUGUAGUAAGCCAAGAUUUUAGAAUGUAAAUGUUUCAGAGGAGGCAACUACUUUUUUUAUACUAUUGAGACCUUGGAACAGACCAUAGAUUUGCAAGGCUUAUUACAAAGGUUUAACUUGGGAAUUAUAAUAAAGAAAAUAAGUAAAUUAUGAUUUAAAUUUAAACAAUUUCUAACUCUUUUAAAACUAUUUUUGUUUAUCUUUCCAAGGCAAAACAGGAGCUUUAACUUCAUAUAUGAUACAACCAAGCUUUAUUCAGAAUUUUUAGCUUACUAUUUAUUGAACCAAGUUUUUAAAAUCUUACUUUUAUUAUAAACUGUAUUAUAUAUAUUGAUUCUGCUUACUUUCCAAGAAGCUUUUGACUUUAUAAGUCUCUCUCCAAUGAAUUUUCACACAUCUGCAAACAGACCGAAGCUGAAAUUUCUAGUGAAACUUUAGCUCAAACAACCGCAUAUUAAAAUUGACCCUAACUUUAUUACGAACUCUUUAAUCUGUUGCAUAUAUAUUAAACUUAAUAAUUUAUGUUACCCUAUUGGCUGGGACUUUCCACAAGAUUUUCCGAUGGCUAAUCUUGGCCCUCGUAACUUUGCCAUUAAUUUCAAGGGCCUAAACCCUCUCUCCCUUUACACUUAUCUAUCAAGUUUAUCUCACAGGUUUUUGCUCCAGUGCCGAAAAUGUUAAAUUGCCCAACAAUAAUUUGUGUGGUUUUGCCCCCAAGUUUUAUUGGAUAAUUAAGCUGGGCGGGGAGUUGACUUAACCCCCUCAAGCCAGCGUUCCAUAUAAUGGGCCAUGUGUGGGCGUGUUUGUCUUGUUCUUAAGCAUUUUGCGGUUGUGUUUGCCUCGGAAUUUUGUGCCCUGGAUGUGUGAGUGUGCAUAAAUCUUGCAAGUGGAAACUUUUUGCGGCGAGCGCAGCAUAAAUAUUUGAAAAUUAAAAGCCAUCCUCGGUUCCCAGAGUUAUGAGCUCCAAGUCCUGAGUCUCCCUGCCUCGAAGGCCGCCAAUAAAAAAGUUCCAGCUGCAAAAACGGCGUCGCAGAAACGGAAAUUUAUGAAAGUUGAGCCAAGAAGGAAGCCAAGAAGGAAAAUCAGCCCCUUAUGAAGUCACUCAUAAUGGAAAACUAAGCAAAUGCAGGCACGGCAAGUAAUAGGAUGCCCAGGAACAAAUUACAAAGAGCAGUGAAUGGGCCAGAAGAAGCUUAUGUUUACUUAUUAAAGGGAUAGUUGAUAGCUCUUAAAAUAUAUAUUAGCUUUUGUGAGAAGAAGUAUUAUUAACAGAGAAGGACAAUAGAGAUGGUACUGAAGGGUAACAGUUAGAAAUUAAAAUAAUUAUUUAAAAUAGGAAAACUUUAAUUGAUGUUUAAGGGUUUAAGAAAUCUUAAGUUAAUAUGUCUAAGCUAUUGGAGUUACAGUAUUUAUUUAUAUCAAUAAAAUAUUAAUUGAGUGAUUCUUAAUAAUUUUUAAACCCUUUCGGUCACAUAAGUAGUGUCCUUUGACCUAAUUUUCCACUCGUAACUUAUCACUUGCUUAACUUAAGCCACAAUCCCAUAUAAAUUACAAUAUUCUUGCUUCUUAACCCCCCCACUUUUCCAAUUUAAUUAGCAACCAUCCAUCACCCUGUCACCAGUCCAAUCUGUAGCAUAUUAAACUUAAACAAAACGAGUUUCCUCCCCCAAGAGCCUGACUGAAAAUGCUUAAUUACAUUCUCGAUUUCAACAUAUAUUGAAAGCUCGUUAUACAACAAAAAGACAGGCAGAACAAUGAAGGCAAUGGCAACGGCAGCAAUAAUCAUAUCAUGGAGCAUAAAUCACCAAACAAAUUGAAUUAUCAUUGCGUCAUUAAAAAGUCAUUUCAGCGGAGAGCUUACGGUGGAAAAAGAAGUACCCGGGAAAAAAAACAAAAAACAAAAAAAAAAAAUUUGAAACGAAAAUAAAGGUGAAACGAUAUAAUUAUGUUGCAAUAUGGCGCCCUCAAGCAUGACCUACGCCCACAACACCAACAAUGAGAAUAAUAAAAACAACAACGACAAUUACCGUCGACGAGAGAGACAGACAUACUCGCUUCGAAAGAGACGGAGACAUGGGCACUUGGAAGCGCACACGUUCGCUUUCAAAAACACCAAAAACCUAAACACAAUGAAUGCGCUCAUGUCAGAAUGAAAAUUGCUUUUUAUUUGCCAGCGUUGUUUUUCUUUUUGUUAGUGCUGCACCCAGGCGCAACAUUGAAUGAAAACCAUUUUCCGAAAGGGGCAAGGGCGUGGCCAAACCCCAAGAGUUAAUAGAAAACUAAUCUAGAAUAAGAGGCUCAAAUAGGAAAGUUUUUAUAUUAAAUUGGAUAACUUUUCUGUAUUAAUCUUAAUGUAUUUAAAUUUUGGGAUCACAUAAUGCAAGUUAACUUGCAAUUAAAAAUAAUAUAGAUGAUUGAAUAAUAAAUUUAAUUAGGAAUUUGUGGCAGGUCUAUCUUUUCUGAAAAUUUAACUUAAAAAUCUGCAAGGAUCUUUACACUCUUAUGAGGACAUUUAUAUUUUUUACUUAGCUUUCAUCUAUUAGAAAUAUUUUAAAUAUUAAGUUUUAAAUGUGA